GUGCUCAUUUCAGCAGCACAUAUGCUGAAAUUGGAACGAUACAGAGAAGAUUAGCAUGGCCCCUGUGCAAGGAUGACAUGCAAAUUCAUGAAGCCUGGUGGCUCUGA